CAGUAGCCGCGGGAAUACAGAGGGUGCAAGCGUUAAUCGGAAUUACUGGGCGUAAAGCGCGCGUAGGUGGUUUGUUAAGUUGGAUGUGAAAUCCCCGGGCUCAACCUGGGAACUGCAUCCAAAACUGGCAAGCUAGAGUAUGGUAGAGGGUGGUGGAAUUUCCUGUGUAGCGGUGAAAUGCGUAGAUAUAGGAAGGAACACCAGUGGCGAAGGCGACCACCUGGACUGAUACUGACACUGAGGUGCGAAAGCGUGGGGAGCAAACAGGAUUAAAUACCCCAGUAGUCCCUGUCUCUUAUAC
rnacentral:rRNA from 1 species